UUAGAUGUCUCCUGGCUAUUUUUCUCCCUGAAGUUUUGCCAUAUCACCUGUUACCUGAAUAUGCAAGUGCAUCAUCUUUCUCAUCUAGGACAGUAAUUUUCAUUCUGCUAAGGAGUAAGCAGCCUCAGUUUUCAAGAUGGUGCAAGUAUUUUACCAGAUUAUGCCUCCAGAAAGGAUCUGUGAAUCCCACCUGCCUUGUAAUCACCCUCCCAGCUUGUAGAUACAAAACACUGCAGGGAAUAUGCAUGGAACAGCUCGUAUCUUGAAGGAAGAAUCACCAAAUUUGAACAAAAUCACUGGAGGAAAAGCAGGUUGAAGAAUGUGUGUGAAUAUGACCUCCAAAGUCCCAAAUUCUCUAGUGCCUUUACAGAGCACUACAGCUAUCAAGAAUUACCCUUGGAAAAGGAGCUGUCAAGUAAAUGCCUUCCUGUUCACAUCAUGUGGUGUGUACAGAUCCUAAGCUCAUCCAUGCCUCAUGAUUGACCAGACAGGUGUCUUCCCUGCAAUCAAUGUUGAUUAAAAACUGGUUUUGUGGUACUGACAAUCUGAUGGGACUAAAAUAAAAUCUCCUAAACCCUCUGGUAAUGAAAAAUUAUUUGCACAAAAGGAAGGAGUACAAAAAGGAUUUCAGACUCCUAUUUAUUACCUUUAAAAUUGUAGAAAGUUUUUCUCCAGUCAGUAACUAAUCCUUCUUUUCAUUUUUGCUGUCAUUAAGCACAUUUUGAUUGAUUAUAACCAGCUCUAUCACAGUGGACCAGAACUCAUCAGAUCAGACUUCUGAAGAAGAAAAAAAGCCUUGUCAUUGGUGUGCGGAACAGAAGAGAAUCAAAGUGAAAUCAGGUUAAAGUAUCAUUCACCCAACUGAACCAAGUGCUAACAGAAGGUUAACAGUGUUGGAUGUUGUCUUUUAUAACCUCUGACCUUUUUAGGUUAUCAUCUUGGGAAAGAGAACUGGAAAUGUCUCUCUUCUGAGUAGCAAAUAUUCAGAGACAUGUGUGUUAUUAAGUAAUGGUAUCUGCUCAAGAAGGAAAUAUCCUGUCUCCAUAAAUUGAUUCAUGGGACAAAGUUGCCAGCAACCAGUGCAUGAAGUCGUGCAGGAAGUCAGAAACACGCUGAGAAUGUGUGAAAGAAGGAAGCUUCAGCAACUGCAGGGAAAUGUCUCCUACAAAAAGCUUACAAAAUUCGGGUUGUUU